AAUAACUGAACAUCCUUUCAUUUUCAGUCCACCAUACCUACCUUGCUCUUACAAUACUUAAACCUUAGACAUGAAAGGCUGUUAGGGCACACACAGUCAAGAGUACAAGAAGUCCUGGUUUACGUAAGCUGAAAAUAGUGCAUCUCUGCAGAGCAGUGCAAAGAAGACUUAUUUCAUGCUGUGCAGCUACACUAAAAAGGGAAAAUAUUCCUUCUGGAGCCUCUAGGCUCACAACUGUAUCUAUUCCUCUUAGAGGAUGUGUUGUCUCAUGUAGUGAAACUCUUUGAUACUGUGUCAGGUGAGAGCCGUAAGGAGUGUACCUCUCAGCUACUCUGACCAAGGCUCUUAUGAAGAAAAACCAUGUAGAGAGUAAAGCUUUGAAAACAACUAAGUCUAAGAGGCUGUGGGCUGGAGUCCCUGAAGUCAGUGUGGUACAAAGCUCCUGAAGACAUCCAUUCAGAUGGACAUGGUAGAUUCAAACGUGCCCAAUUCCUAAAUGACUAAGUUCCUUGCUGCUUGUUGAACCACUUGUCUUAAACAUUUAUUUCCCAUAUAUGUUAUUCGAAAUACAAACCCUGAAACUAAAGAUAAUUGUGGUAAUGGUGCCUUGACCAUGUAGCAAAAAACUUAAUGAUUCUUUGCAGUGAAAAAGACAUAUUCUAUUCAAAACUGACACCCCUACACCAACCCAAGUUACUGGAUGCAUGUAUGAGUCAGUUAUGGAAGCCCAUAAGAACUCGGGAUCAUUCAAAUUUACUGACUUUCAGCUUCCAGAACAUUUAUUUCUAUCAUUUGCUUUAGCAGUGGCAUUCAU